rnacentral:rRNA from 1 species
ACGAUGAACCACUUCGGUGGGGAUUAGUGGCGAACGGGUGAGUAACACGUGGGCAAUCUGCCCUUCACUCUGGGACAAGCCCUGGAAACGGGGUCUAAUACCGGAUAGCACUCCUGCAGGCAUCUGUGGGGGUUGAAAGCUCCGGCGGUGAAGGAUGAGCCCGCGGCCUAUCAGCUUGUUGGUGAGGUAACGGCUCACCAAGGCGACGACGGGUAGCCGGCCUGAGAGGGCGACCGGCCACACUGGGACUGAGACACGGCCCAGACUCCUACGGGAGGCAGCAGUGGGGAAUAUUGCACAAUGGGCGAAAGCCUGAUGCAGCGACGCCGCGUGAGGGAUGACGGCCUUCGGGUUGUAAACCUCUUUCAGCAGGGAAGAAGCGCAAGUGACGGUACCUGCAGAAGAAGCGCCGGCUAACUACGUGCCAGCAGCCCGGGGGUAAUUCA